AAUAGAUACCCCCGGUAGUCCACGCCGUAAACGAUGGAUACUAGCUGUUGGAGGUAUCGACCCCUCCAGUAGCGAAGCUAACGCGUUAAGUAUCCCGCCUGUGGAGUACGGUCGCAAGACUAAAACAUAAAGGAAUUGACGGGGACCCGCACAAGCGGUGGAUUGUGUUCUUUAAUUCGAUGAUAAACGAAGAACCUUACCAGGGUUUGACAUCCCAAGAAUUAUGCCGAAAGGCGUGAGUGCUUUAUUGAACUUGGUGACAGGUGAUGCAUGGCCGUCGUCAGCUCGUGUCGUGAGAUGUUUGGUUAAGUCCAUCAACGAGCGCAACCCUUGUGAAUAGUUGAAUUUUUCUAUUCAGACUGCCCCGGCAACGGGGAGGAAGGAGGGGAUGAUGUCAGGUCAGUAUUUCCUUACAUCCUGGGCUAGAAACGCAAUACAAUGGUUAGUACAAUGCGCAGCGAAGCCGCGAGGUGAAGCAAAUCGCAUCAAAGCUAAUCCCAGUUCGGAUAAGAGGCUGAAACUCGCCUCUUUGAAGUCGGAA
rnacentral:rRNA from 1 species